CCUACCCCCACCCCCAGCAAAGGCUAGCAGGAACAAAGAUUCAUUCAAGAUAAUCACCAAAAGCCCAGAAGCUGUGACGUGGACCCUGUUGGGGAAGACUGACCAACUCUCCCUUCGCUGUGACUGCUGUUCUGCUCACCCGAUCCCGUCUUUAGACAGGAUCUCAUUACAUUGCCUUGGCUCAUCCAGAACGCAGAAACCAUCUCUCUCUGCCUCCCUGAAGCUGGGAUUAAGGAUGUGAGAGAGACACCACCACCAACUGUUCCUCUCCUUUGGAGAUGCCAAGGGCAGGCUCUGAGUCCACUUGUCCAAUGCAUAUGCAAAUGAGUGAGUUGUAAAUGUCUACUUUUCUGCCUGGUUUCUACCGGAUUCCGAAGGGAUUGCUUUGCACAGAGCUGACUUUAUCGUAAAUAUGUGUAUUAAAGUGGGCGAGUUUUCUCAUUCUCAUCACAUUGACUCUAGAACGACUCCAAUCCCCGGAGACUAAGGCCUGCUUGCAAGGUUGCCCCCCCCCUUUUUUUUUUUUGCUUGAUUCAUCAGAACACAAGCAAGAGAAUGCAUCCUAGCUCAAGAAGGGAGGCUGUUCUGAGCAGCUGCAGAAAGAGGUUGGAGGCUGGGCUGCUCAAUUUAACCAAAAUGCCUAGUCAGCAGAAUAACUCUGUUUCCAUUCCUCUCGAGCCAAGGGCCCAAGAGCUCUCUCUGAUUCACCCAGCUUUUCUCAAGCAGAGCACUCAUUAACUAGAUCGCUGAAAAUCACUUCCUCCUGUGUCUUCUCUGGCUAAUUCUAACAGUGUUCGAGAAAUAAAUAUCUCAAGGAGAAGCAGCAGCCCGUGCGUGAGCCUUGAAGACACCCCCUCUUACAUUCUUUGCUUCUGUUCCUCCCUGACUCCAAACUUCUCUUAAAUAGAGGUUAAGUUGUAAGAUGUGUAUUAACACAGUCACCAAAAAGAAAAAAACAGUGAAAACUCGUGAACUGACAGGCAUGGGGACAUCUGUCUGAACCCUGGUGCAGGCGCUAACCUCAGAGGCAAGAGCCAAAGUGUGAAGCCCUUUCCAGAGGCAGCAGGAACACCUUCAGGAAGCUCAGUAGCCUCAGGUCGGCAAGGUAAGCAACAGCCUUUUCUCCUCCGGUUCUUUUUCCUGGGAGAAUGAGAGGCUCAGCAACCAUUCUUCCCUUUGAUGAAAGCCAAACUAGGAUGACAAGAGUAACUCCCAGGGCUGUGACCCCUGUCCUGAUAGUUUUAGCACGUGAAACAAAACAAGACAGAACCCCACGCAGCACGAACCACCAUCACAUUGCUCGAGGUCAACAACAACAACAAGUCACUGUCCCUUUCCGUCUCUGUAGGGGAAGGGAAUUUCCUCCCAGGGAUUCAGACCUAGAUAUACAAAUCCACAACUGUCUACAUCCCAGGAAUACCAAGGAAAACUUUGUACACAACUCAAGCCAUUGUUACACCAUCCCACUACGACUCCCUGUACCACUCAGAAUACGUUUAAACAAAACCAAAACUCAUACCGUCCCCACUACCCUUAUCCCUAGAACACAGUUCCUAGAAAACCUAACUUGUACAUUUCGCACUGAGCAUGCUGUCUUCAAAGACCCUGCACACGUACACACACGGACACAAAAACACAGACAAGAGAAAGCUCUGUUCAAGGGGAUAGUUUUUCCUUCUGUGUGGGCCUUGAUUACUUGGGUAACAAAGUUCACUCUUUAGCUCUGUAACCUGAUCUCUCAGCUGUGUGUGUGUGUGUGUGUGUGUGUGUAGCAUGUGUGCAUGUGUGUGCAUAUGCAUCCAUGUGGUUGUGUGUGGUAUGUGCAUGUUGAACGUGUGUGUGUGUGUGUGUGUGUGUGUGUGUGUGUACAGGAUGAGGGACUAUGAACUGGGAGUGAAAGCUCACUCUAUACUUUUCAGAGGGAGGAGUGAGAGGCAUGUGAUCACAGGGGAAGAGAGAAGAGGAAGAGAGGAGGCAGACCCACAUGAGAGUGUCUGGCCCCUUGCUCUCAAGCUCCGAAUGCCUGAUCACCAUCUCUUUCCUGUUUCUUCCUUUCAUCUUAGCCCAGUACUUCAUGGAGUCACCCAUUCUGUAGAAUUUGAUGUAGAUCUUGGAGCCAAACAAAUUUAGGAAACAUUACAUGAAUAGAAAUUGACUGUGGGGGUUCUCAGAGCCCUUGAUAUACUAACAGCCGCUUUCACUUUCUCUCUGUGUAGAGUAAAUACUUGGGAACUGGUACCACAUGGACCCCAACCAGUGAGAAUGGACCUCAGCUAUCACUGCUGGUUCCCUUGAGAGUAGGUUCAGCAUGAAUAGCCUCACACAUACAUACUUUGCACCAUUUCCCACAAUUUUGCCCAGAGAACUCUGUUUUCCCACGUUGUCUCACAGAAAUGGUGAGAAAUACUCUGGCCCUCAGGGUACAGGAGAGGGCCAGCUCUGGCAGUGGCUGCUGGUAGCACCGGCUGACAGAUAUGACCAUGGCUACAGAAGAGACAGAUUUCAAAAGGCAGCUGUCCUUCUGUCCCAGCUGCUCCCAGGACUCUGUCCCUGGUGGGUCAGCAGGUGCCUAUCUAGGUGGUGCUUGCGGCCAAAGCUCUUCUCACAGCGAGGGCAAUGGAAGGGCUUCUCCCCGGUGUGGGUCAGCCAGUGUCUCACCAGGUGGUGCCUCCGGCCAAAGCUCUUCCCACAUUCAGUGCACACAUGGCACUUUGGCACGGGAGGCACGCAGUGCUGAGCCGCAGGACUCUCUCCAAAGUCU
rnacentral:lncRNA from 1 species